rnacentral:rRNA from 1 species
CCAAUAGCGUAUAUUAAAGUUGUUGCAGUUAAAAAGCUCGUAGUUGAAUUUCGGGAUCAGUGGGUCGGUCGUGCCACUGGUAUGUACUGGCCCUACUGGUUCCUCCUUCUUGAAGAACUGUGAUGCCAUUAAUUUGGUGUUGCAGGGAAACAGGACUGUUACUUUGAAAAAAUUAGAGUGUUUAAAGCAGGCAAUCGCUUGAAUACAUUAGCAUGGAAUAAUGAAAUAGGACGUUCGACCCUAUUUUGUUGGUUUCUAGGAUUGACGUAAUGAUUAAUAGGGAUAGUUGGGGGCAUUAGUAUUCAAUUGUCAGAGGUGAAAUUCUUGGAUUUAUUGAAGACUAACUACUGCGAAAGCAUUUGCCAAGGAUGUUUUCAUUAAUCAAGAACGAAAGUUAGGGGAUCGAAGACGAUCAGAUACCGUCGUAGUCUUAACCAUAAACUAUGCCGACUAGGGAUCGGAUGAUGUUAAUUUUUUAAUGACUCAUUCGGCGCCUUACG